GUCUACGGCCAUACCACCCUGAACGCGCCCGAUCUCGUCUGAUCUCGGAAGCUAAGCAGGGUCGGGCCUGGUUAGUACUUGGAUGGGAGAAUUAACCAAGUUUGGUAGGGG
rnacentral:rRNA from 1 species